rnacentral:lncRNA from 1 species
GUUUAAUAGAAAUUGUUUUGCAUCUAAAUCUCUCUGCUGGUAGCUGGCUAUAUGCACAGAGUUUUCCUUGUUAUUGUUGUAUGUUUUACAUCUACAGAAAUGUCUUUCAACCUGAAAAACCCUGCUGUGGUUAUGAAUACUGGGAUUCAUUGCGGGCAUGAAUUGUCUCUUCAGAAUACAGCGGGAGACUUCCAUAAUGGUAUUCAGGAUCCUAGGUGCUGGAAAUCAAAUUUCAGAACAUUAACUUGCUUAGUAGUUGUUUUGUGAUAGUGGACCAAUAUUUAUUUAUUGACUGGGGCUGGAAUUAGAGGUAAGAUUUCCAUUUCUUAACCUGAUGUGGAACAUCUUGAAAAGACAGAAGAAAAAUAUCCCUCCUGUCAUAACAGGAAAAUAGAGUUGAAGUUGUAC